rnacentral:rRNA from 1 species
UACGUAGGGUGCGAGCGUUAAUCGGAAUUACUGGGCGUAAAGCGUGCGCAGGCGGUGAUGUAAGACAGGUGUGAAAUCCCCGGGCUUAACCUGGGAACUGCAUUUGUGACUGCAUCGCUGGAGUGCGGCAGAGGGGGAUGGAAUUCCGCGUGUAGCAGUGAAAUGCGUAGAUAUGCGGAGGAACACCGAUGGCGAAGGCAAUCCCCUGAGCCUGCACUGACGCUCAUGCACGAAAGCGUGGGGAGCAAACAGG